rnacentral:rRNA from 1 species
UACGAAGGGGGCUAGCGUUGUUCGGAUUUACUGGGCGUAAAGCGCACGUAGGCGGAUCGUUAAGUCGGGGGUGAAAUCCUGGAGCUCAACUCCAGAACUGCCUUCGAUACUGGCGAUCUCGAGUCCGGAAGAGGUGAGUGGAACUCCUAGUGUAGAGGUGGAAUUCGUAGAUAUUAGGAAGAACACCAGUGGCGAAGGCGACUCACUGGUCCGUUACUGACGCUGAGGUGCGAAAGCGUGGGGAGCAAACAGG